UACGGCUACAUCGCGUUGCAACACCGGUUCCCGUACGAUCACCUAAGUUAAGCAGCGUCGAGCCUGGUCAGUACUUAGAUGGGUGACCGCUUGAUAAUACUAGGUGCU